GCCUGACUGUAAACUACUAGCCAAAAAAGUACGAGCCCCGCUUAAAACUUUAAGGACCUGGCGGUACUCUACAUCAACCUAGAGGGGCCUGCCCUGUAACCGAUAAUCCACGAAGAACCUCACCACUUCUGGCCCCAGCCUAUAUACCGCCGUCUUCAGCACAUUUCACAAAAAAUGAAGCUCAAUAGUACCACGCACUAAUACGUCAGGUCAAGGUGUAGCUCAUGAAGUGGGAAAGCGUGGGCCACAUUAUAACAACACACAGAAACCCCGUUGAAACACAGGAUAAAAGACGAAUUUAGCAGUAAGCGGAGCCGAAUGCCCCACUGAACCAAAACACGCCCUAGAGUACGC
rnacentral:rRNA from 1 species